UUUAUGGAGAGUUUGAUCCUGGCUCAGGAUGAACGCUGGCGGCGUGCCUAAUACAUGCAAGUCGAGCGAACGGACGAGAAGCUUGCUUCUCUGAUGUUAGCGGCGGACGGGUGAGUAACACGUGGAUAACCUACCUAUAAGACUGGGAUAACUUCGGGAAACCGGAGCUAAUACCGGAUGAUAUUUUGAACCGCAUGGUUCAAAAGUGAAAGACGGUCUUGCUGUCACUUAUAGAUGGAUCCGCGCUGCAUUAGCUAGUUGGUAAGGUAACGGCUUACCAAGGCAACGAUGCAUAGCCGACCUGAGAGGGUGAUCGGCCACACUGGAACUGAGACACGGUCCAGACUCCUACGGGAGGCAGCAGUAGGGAAU
rnacentral:rRNA from 1 species